rnacentral:lncRNA from 1 species
AGCUUGCAGUCUGCUGAGGGGAACAUCCAAAACUAUCUGAAGCCCCGGGCUGAACCAGGCUCUGCAGACAUUGGUGGUGUCCUAGAAGGCUCUUGCUGAGGUCUUAUGUCUGAAAAGAAACCCUCGGAAACCCACUUGAGUCUGUCUUGCAUUUCACAUGAAACAAGGCUUCAUUCUGCAAAAAUAUCUGGGACCUUCAAAUUCACAAGUGGAUUUUCUGCUCAGGGGAGAGCUACCAAUCGGUUGAAAGUUCUGUGUAAUUGCUGGGCCGCUGGGUUCUUUGCAUCUGUUCUUGGAGGCCACUGAAGUCACGUCCUGAGUUACCUCUCAUCUGGGCCUUGAUUUGCUUCAUCUUUGGCUGGGCCUCAACAAAUCUCUUCACCUGAAAGGAACUCCUUCAAAUGAACUGGUCGCCAUAUGAAUUGAUGCUACACUUUGAGCGUUGCCGCAGUCAGGUGAAUUCAAGCUACAGAGAAGAGGCGAUUCACAUUUUUUCCUUCUGUCUUGUAUUAUUCCUCCGGCUCAAGAACC